GAGCCAAUGAUGAGCACUUACCUUGUUGAAGACAGUUGAUGACUUAAAAAUAUGAUCAAUAGGAUUACGCUGAGGCCC